UGAAGAAGCAUUAGUAGGUCUGAGAUUUUUGACACUUGUCUCAAAUCAUACCACAGUCUGAAAAAUGUAAGCUUUGGGAUUUUAAACUUAGAGCCAGUUUGAAGUUUUAGGCAUUGGUGAGUUUUGGGUUCCCAGGUGGUUUGAUGUUGGUAAGGGCUGUAAAAUCACCUCCACUGGGUGUCUUGGGGUAAUUAAAUGUAGUGGGCUCCAUCUGUAAGUGCAGACCUUGUUCAGACAAGCAGACGUGAGGAGCUCGAGAAAAGGCUACAAGGACCGAUGAAAAAAAAUGUUGGAUUGAUGCUUUGGCUGUAAAAGAAUAACCUGGAUGUUCCACUUUGAAGUGAAACAAGGUGGUGUAUCUGUGGAUUGGGCUGCAUUACCCUGUUCUUCCGGCGUCAAGAAGAUGAAAAAGCAAAAUGCGCACCCUGAGGUACUUUCAUUGCGACUCAGAAGAUGGAGAAGCACAUCUGUAGCCUCCCAACUGUGAGCUUGGCUGGAGGAAGGUGAUUUCUAAGUUGGCUCUGCAGUCUCAAGCAUGGUAAUUUCCCCCUUUCUUGCAUGCUAAAUCAGCAUUUUACAUUUUUUUUUUUCCAUAAUGCUGCAUUCCCUGGACAUGUGAUUGAUACUGAAAUUGCUUUUCUGUUCAAUUAAAGAACUACCUUCUAAGUAAAAAUGGCAGGAAGAAAGAAAUAAAAUAACCGUAUCAGUCUUGUCUUGUUAAUUAGGGGAAACUUCUG
rnacentral:lncRNA from 12 species